rnacentral:misc_RNA from 1 species
ACUGUGUACAGGAAUUCUACAUCAACUUCCUCAUCAUUUGUUACAUCAGCUGUAAAAGAUGGAUCGACUCUAACUAGGAUUUCAAUAACAUGGUCCUUGUGGUAGUAAAUUUCAAAUUGAUAAAAUGUAUAAAUGUGAUAUCUGUACUCAUUAGGGUCAUCAAUUCCGUCCUUCUCGACCUUCCCAAGGAACGCCCAUAUUGGCAAGUCAUCAUAGUACAUCUGGACGUAGUAAUCCAGUGCAACAGCGGUUCUGAAUUGUGCAACUUCCUCCUUUGUCAACCUUUUCUUACAUAUAACUUUGGCAUCUUUUUCCGCCAAAAACUCGAGCUUAUAUGGAGCAAAUAUAAG